GGUCCGCUGGCGUAAUGGUAGCGCGUCUGACUACGACCAUCACUCCGAAGCAGUCGGAGUGUAGCGCAAUCAGGAGGCUCCAGGUUCGAUCCCUGGGCGGAUCG
rfam:Thielavia terrestris NRRL 8126 chromosome 2, complete sequence.